CCUACGGGUGGCAGCAGUGGGGAAUAUUGGACAAUGGGCGAAAGCCUGAUCCAGCCAUGCCGCGUGUGUGAAGAAGGCCUUCGGGUUGUAAAGCACUUUCAGUGGGGAAGAAAGCCUUGGGGCUAAUACCCUCGAGGAAGGACAUCACCCACAGAAGAAGCACCGGCUAACUCCGUGCCAGCAGCCGCGGUAAUACGGAGGGUGCGAGCGUUAAUCGGAAUUACUGGGCGUAAAGCGCGCGUAGGCGGUCUGAUAAGCCGGUUGUGAAAGCCCCGGGCUCAACCUGGGAACGGCAUCCGGAACUGUCAGGCUAGAGUGCAGGAGAGGAAGGUAGAAUUCCCGGUGUAGCGGUGAAAUGCGUAGAGAUCGGGAGGAAUACCAGUGGCGAAGGCGACCUUCUGGACUGACACUGACGCUGAGGUGCGAAAGCGUGGGUAGCAAACAGGAUUAGAUACCCUGGUAGUC
rnacentral:rRNA from 1 species